rnacentral:rRNA from 1 species
UCGGGAAUAUUGCGCAAUGGAGGAAACUCUGACGCAGUGACGCCGCGUGCAGGAAGAAGGUUUUCGGAUUGUAAACUGCUUUAGACAGGGAAGAAACAAGACAGUACCUGUAGAAUAAGCUCCGGCUAACUACGUGCCAGCAGCCGCGGUAAUACGUAGGGAGCAAGCGUUAUCCGGAUUUUAUUGGGUGUAAAGGGUGCGUAGACGGGAAUGCAAGUUGGUUGUGAAAUCCCUCGGCUCAACCGAGGAAUUGCAACCAAAACUAUAUUUCUUGAGUGCUGGAGAGGAAAGUGGAAUUCCUAGUGUAGCGGUGAAAUGCGUAGAUAUUAGGAGGAACACCAGUGGCGAAGGCGACUUUCUGGACAGUAACUGACGUUGAGGCACGAAAGUGUGGGGAGCAAACAGGAUUAGAUACCC